UUGAACGCUGGCGGAAUGCUUUACACAUGCAAGUCGAGCGGCAGCACGGGGGCAACCCUGGUGGCGAGCGGCGAACGGGUGAGUAAUACAUCGGAACAUGCCCAGUCGUGGGGGAUAACACUUCGAAAGAAGUGCUAAUACCGCAUACGUCCUGAGGGAGAAAGCGGGGGAUCGCAAGACCUCGCGCGAUUGGAGUGGCCGAUGUCAGAUUAGCUAGUUGGUGGGGUAAAGGCCUACCAAGGCAACGAUCUGUAGCUGGUCUGAGAGGAUGAUCAGCCACACUGGGACUGAGACACGGCCCAGACUCCUACGGGAGGCAGCAGUGGGGAAUUUUGGACAAUGGGGGCAACCCUGAUCCAGCCAUUCCGCGUGAGUGAAGAAGGCCUUCGGGUUGUAAAGCUCUUUCGGCAGGAACGAAACGGCGAGCUCUAACAUAGCUUGCUAAUGACGGUACCUGAAGAAGAAGCACCGGCUAACUACGUG
rnacentral:rRNA from 1 species